rnacentral:rRNA from 1 species
UUUUGGACAAUGGGCGCAAGCCUGAUCCAGCCAUGCCGCGUGAGUGAAGAAGGCCUUCGGGUUGUAAAGCUCUUUCGGCGGGGACGAAACGGUUCGUGCUAAUACCACGGACUACUGACGGUACCCGCAGAAGAAGCACCGGCUAACUACGUGCCAGCAGCCGCGGUAAUACGUAGGGGGCUAGCGUUGCUCGGAAUCACUGGGCGUAAGGGGUGCGUAGGCGGGUUUUUAAGUCAGGGGUGAAAUCCUGGAGCUCAACUCCAGAACUGCCUUUGAUACUGAAGAUCUUGAGUCCGGGAGAGGUGAGUGGAACUGCGAGUGUAGAGGUGAAAUUCGUAGAUAUUCGCAAGAACACCAGUGGCGAAGGCGGCUCACUGGCCCGGUACUGACGCUGAGCACGAAG